rnacentral:rRNA from 1 species
UAGUUUGACCUCGGAUCAGGUAGGGUUACCCGCUGAACUUAAGCAUAUCAAUAAGCGGAGGAAAAGAAACCAACAGGGAUUGCCUCAGUAACGGCGAGUGAAGCGGCAACAGCUCAAAUUUGAAAUCUGGUCACCUUACGGAGGCCCGAGUUGUAAUUUGAAGAGGAUGCUUUUGGCAAGGUGCCUUCCGAGUGCCCUGGAACGGGACGCCACAGAGGGUGAGAGCCCCGUAUGGUUGGACACCGAGCCUAUGUAAAGCUCCUUCGACG